GACGAACGCUGGCGGCGUGCUUAACACAUGCAAGUCGAACGGAAAGGCCCUGCUUUUGUGGGGUGCUCGCGUGGCGAACGUGUGAGUAACCCGUGAGUAACCUUCCCUUUACUUUGGGAUAACCUCAGGCAACUGGGGCUAAUACCUGCUAGGAGCUCCUGCUGCAUGGUGGGGUUUGGAAAGUUUCGGCGGUUGGGGAUGUACUGUCGGGUUAUCAGCUUGUUGGUGGGGUAGUGGCUUACCCAGGCUUUGACGGGUAGCCGGCCUGGGAGGUUGAACGGGGACAAGAGGACUGAGGGAGGGAGCAGAGGGGAACGGGAGGCAACGGGGGAGAAUAUUGCACAAUGGGGGGGAGUCUGAUGCGGCAACGCCGCGAGCGGGAAGACGGCCUUGGGGUGGGGAACCGCAUUAGGCUGUGACGAAGCGGGAGUGACGGUAAUGGGAGAAGAAGCACCGGCUAACUACGUG
rnacentral:rRNA from 1 species